rnacentral:rRNA from 1 species
UACAGAGGAGUCAAGCGUUGUCCGGAUUGACUGGGCGUAAAGCGCACGCAGGCGGAUGCGCGCGUGGGGUGUGAAAUCUGGCCGCUUAACGGCCAGGCGCCAUCCCAUACGGCACGUCUGGAGCUAUGCAGAGGUCGGUGGAAUUGCCGGUGUAGUGGUGAAAUGCGUAGAGAUCGGCAGGAACACCCAGGGGAAACCAGCGGACUGGCUCGUUGCUGACACUGAGGUGCGACAGCGUGGGGAGCGAACAGG